rnacentral:rRNA from 1 species
GUCCACACUGUAAACGAUGAGUGCUAGACGUCGGGUGUUUACACUCGGUGUCGCAGCUAACGCAUUAAGCACUCCGCCUGGGGAGUACGGUCGCAAGAUUAAAACUCAAAGGAAUUGACGGGGGCCCCGCACAAGCGGUGGAGCAUGUGGUUUAAUUCGAAGCAACGCGAAAAACCUUACCAGGCCUUGACAUGGUGAUUAAGGGUUUCAGAGAUGAGACCCGUCAGUUCGGCUGGAUCACACACAGGUGCUGCAUGGCUGUCGU